rnacentral:tRNA from 1 species
GAGCGCGUAGCUCAGCUGGUAGAGCAACUGACUUUUAAUCAGUGGGUCGCAGGUCCGAUUCCUGCCGGGCUCGCCA